rnacentral:rRNA from 1 species
AUGAGCAAUUCGGCUGCUUUGGCACCAUCAUCACGCGCGUCUGCGUUUCUUGUCUUCUCCCUCGUCUGGUUCUCCAGCCAUGUCCUUGCCGCCGGACACCCAGACUACGCCGACGCGCUCGCCAAGUCGUUGCUCUUCUUCCAGGGGCAGAGGUCCGGCCCCCAGCCGGCGGACCAGGCCGUCAAGUGGAGGUCCAACUCCGCCAUGUCCGACGGCUCGGCCGCAAACGUCGACCUCACCGGCGGCUACUACGACGGCGGCGACAACGUCAAGUUCAAUUUCCCCAUGGCGUUCACCGCGACCAUGCUGUCGUGGAGCAUCAUCGAGUACGGCGGGCGGAUGGAGGCGCGCGUUCACGACGCGCGCGCCGCGGUACGGUGGGCGACGGACUACCUCCUGAAGGCAGCCAAGACGACCCCGGGCAAACUCUACGUCGGAGUGGGCGACGCCGACGCCGACCACCGCUGCUGGGAGCGGCCGGAGGACAUGGACACCCCGCGGAAUGUGUACGAGGUGUCGGCGUCCACCCCGGGGUCCGACGUCGCAGGGGAGACCGCGGCCGCGCUCGCCGCGGCCAGCGUGGUCUUCAAGGCCGCCGACCCGGCUUACUCCAGGAGGCUGGUCGCGGCGGCCAGGGACGUGAUGGCGUUCGCUUGGCAGCAUCAGGGGAAGUACAGCGACCACGUCGGCGGCGGCGUGAGCAACUACUACCCGUCCUACUCCGGCUACAAGGACGAGCUCCUAUGGGGAUCUACAUGGCUGCUCUGGGCGACGAAGAACAGCUCCUACCUCAACGACCUCAUGUCCCUCGGCGCCAACGACGGCGUCGACAUGUUCAGCUGGGACAACAAGCUCGCCGGAGCGCGCGUCCUACUGUCACGGAGGGCUCUGUUGGACGGGGACAAGAGGCUGGAGCCGUUCACGCGUCAAGCGGAGGAGUUCAUCUGCCGCGUCCUGCCCAAGUCCAGCUCCCCUACGUCGACGACGCCGUACACGCCGGGCGGGCUGAUGCACCGGUCGGGCAACGCCAACCUGCAGUACGUCGCCUCCGCGAGCUUCCUGCUCACCACCUACGCCAAGUACAUGGCCGUCUCCAACCGCGCCUUCUCCUGCCAGAACCUCCCCGUCACCUACAAGGCCCUCAGGGCCCUGGCCAAGAGGCAGGUGGACUACGUGCUGGGCGACAACCCGCUGGGGAUGUCCUACAUGGUGGGCUACGGCGCGCGCUCCCCGCAGAGGAUACACCACAGGGCGUCCUCCAUGCCGUCCGUGGCCGCGCACCCGGCGCACAUCGGCUGCCAGGAGGGUUUCCAGGGCUACCUCUACGCCGGCGGCCCUAAUCCCAACGUGCAUACCGGCGCCGUCGUCGGCGGGCCGGACCAGAACGACGUUUUCCCGGACGACCGCGCCGACUAUGCGCGGUCGGAGCCCACCACGUAUACCAACGCACCCCUCGUUGGUUGCCUCGCCUACUUUGCCGGCAGCUACAAGAAAUGA